UAAGCGUACACGGUGGAUGCCCUGGCAGUCAGAGGCGAUGAAGGACGUGCUAAUCUGCGAUAAGCGUCGGUAAGGUGAUAUGAACCGUUAUAACCGGCGAUUUCCGAAUGGGGAAACCCAGUGUGAUUCGUCACACUAUCAUUAACUGAAUCCAUAGGUUAAUGAGGCGAACCGGGGGAACUGAAACAUCUAAGUACCCCGAGGAAAAGAAAUCAACCGAGAUUCCCCCAGUAGCGGCGAGCGAACGGGGAGGAGCCCAGAGCCUGAAUCAGUGUGUGUGUUAGUGGAAGCGUCUGGAAAGGCGCGCGAUACAGGGUGACAGCCCCGUACACAAAAAUGCACAUGCUGUGAGCUCGAUGAGUAGGGCGGGACACGUGGUAUCCUGUCUGAAUAUGGGGGGACCAUCCUCCAAGGCUAAAUACUCCUGACUGACCGAUAGUGAACCAGUACCGUGAGGGAAAGGCGAAAAGAACCCCGGCGAGGGGAGUGAAAAAGAACCUGAAACCGUGUACGUACAAGCAGUGGGAGCACGCUUAGGCGUGUGACUGCGUACCUUUUGUAUAAUGGGUCAGCGACUUAUAUUCUGUAGCAAGGUUAACCGAAUAGGGGAGCCGAAGGGAAACCGAGUCUUAACUGGGCGUUAAGUUGCAGGGUAUAGACCCGAAACCCGGUGAUCUAGCCAUGGGCAGGUUGAAGGUUGGGUAACACUAACUGGAGGACCGAACCGACUAAUGUUGAAAAAUUAGCGGAUGACUUGUGGCUGGGGGUGAAAGGCCAAUCAAACCGGGAGAUAGCUGGUUCUCCCCGAAAGCUAUUUAGGUAGCGCCUCGUGAAUUCAUCUCCGGGGGUAGAGCACUGUUUCGGCAAGGGGGUCAUCCCGACUUACCAACCCGAUGCAAACUGCGAAUACCGGAGAAUGUUAUCACGGGAGACACACGGCGGGUGCUAACGUCCGUCGUGAAGAGGGAAACAACCCAGACCGCCAGCUAAGGUCCCAAAGUCAUGGUUAAGUGGGAAACGAUGUGGGAAGGCCCAGACAGCCAGGAUGUUGGCUUAGAAGCAGCCAUCAUUUAAAGAAAGCGUAAUAGCUCACUGGUCGAGUCGGCCUGCGCGGAAGAUGUAACGGGGCUAAACCAUGCACCGAAGCUGCGGCAGCGACGCUGAUGCGUUGUUGGGUAGGGGAGCGUUCUGUAAGCCUGUGAAGGUGUGCUGUGAGGCAUGCUGGAGGUAUCAGAAGUGCGAAUGCUGACAUAAGUAACGAUAAAGCGGGUGAAAAGCCCGCUCGCCGGAAGACCAAGGGUUCCUGUCCAACGUUAAUCGGGGCAGGGUGAGUCGACCCCUAAGGCGAGGCCGAAAGGCGUAGUCGAUGGGAAACAGGUUAAUAUUCCUGUACUUGGUGUUACUGCGAAGGGGGGACGGAGAAGGCUAUGUUGGCCGGGCGACGGUUGUCCCGGUUUAAGCGUGUAGGCUGGUUUUCCAGGCAAAUCCGGAAAACUAAGGCUGAGGCGUGAUGACGAGGCACUACGGUGCUGAAGCAACAAAUGCCCUGCUUCCAGGAAAAGCCUCUAAGCAUCAGGUAACAUCAAAUCGUACCCCAAACCGACACAGGUGGUCAGGUAGAGAAUACCAAGGCGCUUGAGAGAACUCGGGUGAAGGAACUAGGCAAAAUGGUGCCGUAACUUCGGGAGAAGGCACGCUGAUAUGUAGGUGAAGUCCCUCGCGGAUGGAGCUGAAAUCAGUCGAAGAUACCAGCUGGCUGCAACUGUUUAUUAAAAACACAGCACUGUGCAAACACGAAAGUGGACGUAUACGGUGUGACGCCUGCCCGGUGCCGGAAGGUUAAUUGAUGGGGUCAGCGCAAGCGAAGCUCUUGAUCGAAGCCCCGGUAAACGGCGGCCGUAACUAUAACGGUCCUAAGGUAGCGAAAUUCCUUGUCGGGUAAGUUCCGACCUGCACGAAUGGCGUAAUGAUGGCCAGGCUGUCUCCACCCGAGACUCAGUGAAAUUGAACUCGCUGUGAAGAUGCAGUGUACCCGCGGCAAGACGGAAAGACCCCGUGAACCUUUACUAUAGCUUGACACUGAACAUUGAGCCUUGAUGUGUAGGAUAGGUGGGAGGCUUUGAAGUGUGGACGCCAGUCUGCAUGGAGCCGACCUUGAAAUACCACCCUUUAAUGUUUGAUGUUCUAACGUUGACCCGUAAUCCGGGUUGCGGACAGUGUCUGGUGGGUAGUUUGACUGGGGCGGUCUCCUCCUAAAGAGUAACGGAGGAGCACGAAGGUUGGCUAAUCCUGGUCGGACAUCAGGAGGUUAGUGCAAUGGCAUAAGCCAGCUUGACUGCGAGCGUGACGGCGCGAGCAGGUGCGAAAGCAGGUCAUAGUGAUCCGGUGGUUCUGAAUGGAAGGGCCAUCGCUCAACGGAUAAAAGGUACUCCGGGGAUAACAGGCUGAUACCGCCCAAGAGUUCAUAUCGACGGCGGUGUUUGGCACCUCGAUGUCGGCUCAUCACAUCCUGGGGCUGAAGUAGGUCCCAAGGGUAUGGCUGUUCGCCAUUUAAAGUGGUACGCGAGCUGGGUUUAGAACGUCGUGAGACAGUUCGGUCCCUAUCUGCCGUGGGCGCUGGAGAACUGAGGGGGGCUGCUCCUAGUACGAGAGGACCGGAGUGGACGCAUCACUGGUGUUCGGGUUGUCAUGCCAAUGGCACUGCCCGGUAGCUAAAUGCGGAAGAGAUAAGUGCUGAAAGCAUCUAAGCACGAAACUUGCCCCGAGAUGAGUUCUCCCUGACUCCUUGAGAGUCCUGAAGGAACGUUGAAGACGACGACGUUGAUAGGCCGGGUGUGUAAGCGCAGCGAUGCGUUGAGCUAACCGGUACUAAUGAACCGUGAGGCUUAACCUUACAACGCCGAAGCUGUU
rnacentral:rRNA from 1 species